UUUUUUUUUUUCUUAAACCUCAUAGUAUCUGGCACAAGUUAAGCCAUCAAAAUAAAUCCACCAGCUAGAAUCUCAAGUGAAGAGAAUACUGACCUGAAACCUGUCCACCUCCAAGGUUAUGUUGAGCAGCUGCCUCCAAGUCAGAGAGAGAGAGAGAGAGGCAGAGACACAGGCAGAGGGAGAAGCAGGCUCCAUGCACCGGGAGCCCGACGUGGGAUUCGAUCCCGGGUCUCCAGGAUCGCGCCCUGGGCCAAAGGCAGGCGCCAAACCGCUGCGCCACCCAGGGAUCCCUGAUGACCUUUUUAGAUGAAAGCUCCUUACAAUGAGUUCUAAAAACCUCAAAAUUGUUAGGCUGUGGUAGGAUUUUGUUAUAAAGAAAAUC